GAUGAACGCUGGCGGCGUGCUUAACACAUGCAAGUCGAACGGUGAAGCAGAGCUUGCUCUGUGGAUCAGUGGCGAACGGGUGAGUAACACGUGAGCAACCUGCCCCUGACUCUGGGAUAAGCGCUGGAAACGGCGUCUAAUACUGGAUAUGGGCUGCGACCGCAUGGUCAGCAGUUGGAAAGAUUUUUCGGUCUGGGAUGGGCUCACGGCCUAUCAGCUUGUUGGUGAGGUAAUGGCUCACCAAGGCGUCGACGGGUAGCCGGCCUGAGAGGGUGACCGGCCACACUGGGACUGAGACACGGCCCAGACUCCUACGGGAGGCAGCAGUGGGGAAUAUUGCACAAUGGGCGAAAGCCUGAUGCAGCAACGCCGCGUGAGGGAUGACGGCCUUCGGGUCGUAAACCUCUUUUAGCAGGGAAGAAGCGAAAGUGACGGUACCUGCAGAAAAAGCGCCGGCUAACUACGUG
rnacentral:rRNA from 1 species